rnacentral:rRNA from 1 species
GAUCCUGGCUCAGGAUGAACGCUAGCGGCAGGCUUAACACAUGCAAGUCGAGGGGGUAUAGUUCUUCGGAACUUAGAGACCGGCGCACGGGUGCGUAACGCGUAUGCAAUCUACCUUUUACAGAGGGAUAGCCCAGAGAAAUUUGGGAUUAAUACCUCAUAGUAUGUGAGAAUCGCAUGGUUUUCACAUUAAAGUUCCAACGGUAAAAGAUGAGCAUGCGUCCCAUUAGCUAGAUGGUAAGGUAACGGCUUACCAUGGCGACGAUGGGUAGGGGUCCUGAGAGGGAGAUCCCCCACACUGGUACUGAGACACGGACCAGACUCCUACGGGAGGCAGCAGUGAGGAAUAUUGGUCAAUGGGCGAGAGCCUGAACCAGCCAUGCCGCGUGCAGGAAGACGGUCCUAUGGAUUGUAAACUGCUUUUAUUUGGGAAUAAACUCCGGUACGUGUACCGGCCUGAAGGUACCAAAUGAAUAAGCACCGGCUAACUCCGUG